UCUUAGGGAUGAGCAAAGCAGGUGGUUUCUUGAGACGGAAUCUACUCUAGUGAAGACGCUGUGAA
rnacentral:pre_miRNA from 1 species